UUUUUUUUUUUUGACCACAGCAUAUUGUUUUUAAAAACCAAUUGCCCGCCCUUCCCACAAACUCCUCUUCUCUUGCCCCGCCACUGGCACACUCUGGAGGUGGUUGGGCAUCUCCUCACAAGAUGGCGUCAUGAAAAUCCGGGGCUUGCUCAGUAAAUUGCCUGGGUUUUGCUGCCAUCUAGUGGCUAAAGGGGAUGUUCUCGGCUCCGACAAGAAUUCCAUUUCAUUCAAUAAUCUUUAAAAACCCUACCUUGUACAAAGCUCGCUGGAAGGGCCAAGUGGGCCACGAAAUGCCAGUUGAGGAAGCUCCUGAAGAGCUCCUCGUGUUAAGAAGUCGCGGCGAGCUCUGCCACGAGUUUGGUGCCUUUGGGGGAGUCCCGUCAUUCUCUCAGCUUCCGAUUCUGCGCUGUUUUCACGGGUCUCUUUCCCUGAUCCCGGGAUGAGAUAGACACUGGGUGUAAUCCGUGAAAAAAGCAUAUUGUAUAGGACAGAAUAAAAUAAUAAUCGCUCAUGGCAGGCAGGCCCUCACACCAACCCCGGGAAGCAGGUGCUAAUAUUAUCCGGAUCGCACAGAAGCGGAAGUUGAGGUAGAGCCGGGGUCACAGGCCGACGCUCCGUGAAGGAAGCACCCGGAGGUCUAGAUUUUGAGCCGCUCCGCCUCCACAAGCUGCACUCUGCCUUAGAAAGCCACGAGCACGUUUUGUUGGAUUGAUUGGGUGUCUAACCAUUUCCCAAUGACAGCCGAAUACAGUCCAGUCAUCUUGCAGGAGUGACCACCGGGGCCUCUAAUCCGGCGUCCCUUGAAUUCUUUCUCUGCUAUUUUAUCUAGACUGGGCCCAGCUCGGAGCCCCCAGGCCCAACAUUCUCCAGCAUCCUCAGCCAGACUGGGAGAAGGGGGAGGGGGGAGGAGGAAGCGGGAAGGCCUUGCCGCCCAAUGGCCCGCCUCUUUACUUCCUCUUGAAGGGCUUCCCCUCACUGAAGUCUCCCUUCCGCAUGAAAAAAACGCCCGACAUCUCCUGCGUGGCUCUUCUCCUCACCCGUGACGCUCCCUAGAGCUCCUCUUGGAGUCCCUCUCAGCGGGGUCCGCCCCCCUGCCCAUCCCAAGGCCUGCAGCUUGGGAGGCUCCCAAUAGUGACCCCGGUCUGCCUUUGCUUUUCCGCACAGCACAGGGGCCCUUUUCAGGACGGCCUCUCCAAGCAAACCUGGAAGGAUUGGAGUAUUCUGGCCAGGGGUGUGCUUCCCGGGGCCAGAGGACCAAAUCUAGGCCAAGGAUUCUGGUUCUUGGCUCCGUACAGCUCCUGCCCUUUAAAAGCUGGGGAGCCCUAAAGGCUUCCGGGUCAAGCUUCCAGGUGUCCCGCCCCCACUUCCUUUCCAGGUCUCCGGGCGAUUGCGCGGGCCCUUGGCUCCCCUGGGCGUCGGGAGGGUUAGAGCUAAAGCCUUGCCCCAGUCCCCAAGAUGGUCCAAAUGCAGGGCGUUGCCACUCUCCGAGCUCCUUGGUGACAUGUCGCUGCCUCACUAACCUAACCGGACAUUUUGUAAAACAAGUUGAAGACAACCUCCUCCUAUUGAAAGUUAUGAAGUGACAAAAACUGGUCCCCAAAUGAUUGGAAACACACUGAAGAAGAAACAUCUUUGUAUAUGGACGAGAAGCACGUGGACAUCCAGCACUGACCAAACAGCCGUGCUGCUCUACCCGCCACCUGGAGGAAGUAGUGUAUGUUCCGGGGCUGGCAGACAAGAAAAGGACCAAGGAAUCUUCACCACCACCGCCCUCCCCUCCCAAGAAGACGAUAAAAGAAUUCAGUGUUAAGACAUCCAAAUGCUUGUUCAACACCAAAAUGUAUUUGAAUCAAACUGUUCAACGUAAAAAUGGAUUUAUCACAAGGUUAGCAUUAAGAUUUAACUCACAGAAUGAAAAGUUAUCCCCUUAACAAAAUUCUUAAAUUUCAGCUUUUGAAAUAAAUAUACUCUAACAGAAAAAAAAAUAAAAAUCAAUUCAGAAUCAAUUCAGAAUUAGAGUGCUUUAUUUCUUUAAUUUCCCACAAAAUAAACUGAAACUAUCAUUUACAUCAGUUGAAAUGGCAAAAAAAAAAUUAGAAAUCAAUCUGCUAUAACUCUCUUGUAAACACUUUAUGAGCACAAAAUAAGGAUUAAAAGAAACAAAAUGGAAAAACGAAAUACCUCUUAAAUUGAGGAUAAUCUGACUGUCAUAUUAGCCACCUGCAGAUGUCUGAACAGCAGAUGUAUUUAAAGUAGUGCAAGAUUUAACGAAUUUAGGACAAUACUCAAAUCAGCCCUAACCCAGUUUUCAAUUACUUGCUCAAGUUCAUAUAUAAGAAUCAAUUUAAAAAGCAAAUCUCUCCUAAAACUUAACCAGCAGAUAGAUGUCAACUCCAUACCCAACACAACACUAACUAUGGAGAUCUUGAAUAUGAGUUUCCCACCCCCACCCCCAAAAAACACACACACCAAAAAGCGAAAGCCCAGCACCCCAAGUGCAUCCACUUCCAUGUAACUGCCGUUCCUCCCAUGUACUGCCACUUGUGUAAAAAAGGUUUCCUUUAAUAUUUAUAGAUCUAGGAGUGAACAUAUUGCUUCAGAUCCUCUUUCUGAAUUUAAAAUAUACAUACGUAAUCUUCCUUUGUCUCUGAUAAGUACAAAUAUUAGUUGAUAAUGG